AGCAUGAUAAGAAACACUGCUAAGUGUGGAAUGGGCCUGGGUCUUCAGAAGAUACCAAGAACCAGCUGUCUCACUGGAGUGCUGUUAGCUACAUUGGAGGGAACAACAGAGAAUGAUAAAGAAGAUAAUAACUAGAGCCUACUGUCCAGGGAUCAAGAUGGCAGAAGAGGAAGAUCCUAAGCUGACCUCCCAUGGACACACCAAAACUGCAACUACCUAUGGCACAUCUGUCUCUGAAAACGACCUGAAGACUAGCAGAACAGGUCUUUCACAACUAAAGAGAGAGAUCACAAGUAAGCAGAGAGGCAGGCAGAGAGAGA